rfam:Myotis davidii contig131777, whole genome shotgun sequence.
GGCAGCCAGACAGUUUUGCUUGGACCUGUGGGGCGGCCGCGUGGCCAUACGUUCAACGCUCUGAGCCGUCUGUGCGGGGAUCCAGCCAGAAAGUGACUUACAGCCCGAGCAGGAGCUGGAGGCCUCUGCGGUGGGAGGCCCCUCAGAGUAAACAGUGAGAUUCUGGGAAACAUACCUAAGGCCAGACUGUCGGGAAAGG